rnacentral:rRNA from 1 species
GAUGAACGCUGGCGGCGUGCUUAACACAUGCAAGUCGAACGAAGCACUUUGACGGAUCCCUUUCGGGGGUGAAGUUAAAAUGACUGAGUGGCGGACGGGUGAGUAACGCGUGGGUAACCUGCCUCAUACAGGGGGAUAACAGUUGGAAACGACUGCUAAUACCGCAUAAGCGCACAGCUUCGCAUGGAGUGGUGUGAAAAGAUUUAUCAGUAUGAGAUGGACCCGCGUCUGAUUAGCUAGUUGGUGAGGUAACGGCCCACCAAGGCGACGAUCAGUAGCCGGCUUGAGAGAGUGAACGGCCACAUUGGGACUGAGACACGGCCCAAACACCUACGGGAGGCAG